rnacentral:ncRNA from 1 species
AUGAAUAUAAUGUUUGGGAAGAGUAGGUUUUAAUUAUUUAUUAGAGAGUGUAUGGUUGGUGAAAAUACAUAGAUAAUUGUUACUGAAGGUAGCCCACUAAGUUCUUUUGCUGAAUAGAUGUAUCGAUAGUAGGCAAAAGCGUGUUUGAGCGUUAAUCAAUUCUAGAGUGCUCGAAAGUAUAGGAUAAGAUAAAAUCUUAAUCUAAAAUACUUUCUUGAAUAUAGGUGGUACCACGGAACAUCCGUCCUAUGA